rnacentral:misc_RNA from 1 species
AGUAAUUAUCAGGGGCUUAAAUAGAUUAACUAAAUUGACAAGAGUUUGUUUGAUUCUAAGAGUAAUUGUUAGUGGCUUAAAAAGUCUUUUUGCCUGUAUUUUAGUUAUAGGAGAAUUUAGACGGUUGUUGUUGAUAGUUAGCUAGUGGGAAAUAGUUCCUUUGUCAAGUGCCUCCUCUCCCCAGGGGAGUGGAGGUCGGAGGAUGGUGCUGUUGUAGGGUUUAAGCAGUUUUGGAAAGUAUUUGUUGAUUUGUUCAAUGAAUUCUUUUAUGCAAUGGAUUGGAAGAAACAGUUUGUACUUGUACAUGGACCAUUUUCUGUUUUAUAUUUUCAAUUGAUCAUAACAUGAGGGCAUCUGCUUUUGAAAUCUAGGAUAAUCUAGAUUUUGGAGUUUUAACAGUUCUGAAUGACAAUUGUAUCUUCAUGGUGCAGACUAACUAUUAAUCACCAUCUCUGAACUGCAUGCUAGAUGAUAUCUGUAUGUUGAUGUAAAAUUAAUGAAGGGAUCUGUAUAUGGAUUAUGGAUAUUGGAGGCAAAUUAAAAAAACUGAAUGAGUUAUGCUGAGGGACAGAUAAUACUCUUGGUGUAUUGACAGUAUUCAUCAUAAGCAGCAUGUGGCUGGGGCAGUUGACCAUAUACAGUAUUAUUCUUUUUCAGUAAACAGAAAAAAACUCAACUACUGAAUUGAACCAUCUUAUUUCUUAGUUUUUUCAUGUUUUUUCUUGCCUAUCUUGAUACGUUUUCUAUCUGGUAAAAUUAUUGUGGUAAGUGCUAAAAAAUGCGUAGUGGCUCGUAAGUGAUGGCAGGUUUGCCUGUUGUCUUGGACAGAAUCCUUUUUGAUGUUGGGAACCAAUCAACCUUAGCAUUAUGCUGAAGUUGAAUAGUCCAAGUCAUCCUUGCCAAUUAUUUGGGAUCUUGUCCAGUCCUGACCUGCUUCAAAUGCUAUUGGUCCCAAACCAAUAUCACAAAUGCUGUAUAUCAAUAUAUCAUUAUAAAAUAUUCCUUUCUGGUGCCAAAUGCUAUCUUGAUAUCAAAUUCAUUGACUGAACUAAGCAUCAGUCUCAAACUUGUGGGGCUGUGUAGAUCCUUUAUUUUUAUCUUUUCAAAUUUCUUGAAAGGAGUUCUGGCAUUUCUCUUGACAGUAGUUCGAUUGUUGAUGAACUUGCAAAGCUCAUGUCAAAGCUAGAAUUUAUGGUGGAUUUCUCUGAGUUCUCACGCUUCUAUGAUUUUGUGUUCUUCAUGUUCCGCGAAAAUGGUCAAAAGAAUAUCACUGUAAGCAAGGCAGUUACUGCUUGGAGACUAGUUUUAGCUGGGAGGUUCCGAUUGCUGAACCAAUGGUGCAACUUUGUUGAGGUACCAGUCACCAAAUUUUUAGAUUCUCUUUUUUACAUGCUUUCUGUCUUUGAUUCUUUUGUUUGAUUUUUUUUAUUUGACUAUUUUAAGCUUUAUCUUGAUGGAUAGGUACCUUUUAAAAUAUUGUCAUUUGCUUUCCAUUCUGUCUGCUUAACUAUAUAAAUUGGAUGUGGUUGCCUCUUUGGUUAGCAUGAGUUGAUGAUGGCUGUGAAAAAGAAUCCUCUACUAUUUUUUUUUUUUAUUUAACCUGGUUUCCUUGUUGUUUUUCACAUUUCUUUUGGGGCAACUAAUCUAUCAGAAAACUUUUAGGAAAAUCAGAGACAUAAUAUUUCUGAGGAUACAUGGCAGCAAGUUUUAGCUUUUAGCCGAUGUGUGCAUGAAAAUCUUGAAGGUUACGAUCCUGAAGGUAUAAUAUCUUCAAAUUUCAAUUUAUAGUUUAGCUAUCUUUAUGUAGGCUAUAUUUUGAUGGAUCAUUUGUCCUUUUAUUGAUGUUAGAUGCCUUUUAUUUAUAUAAAUGUCUAUGCUUGAUCAGCUUUUUAUUUUGCUGGAAAUACUUUUGUUGGUGAUGUUGAAUUAUUUGUUUUAUCAAAAUUGUGUUCACUUUUCAGCUGUCAUCAUCUGCGCAUGUUCUUUUUGUGAAGCAUUGAAUCCUCGAUGUUCUAUUAUUGGCGUGAAAGAAGAAAUGCAGUAUAUGGACAAAGUGCAAACUUUAUUGAAAUGAAUUGUGAAUGGAAUCCACACUAGUCCUAUAUAUCUUUGGUUACUAGGAGCUUGGCCUGUCCUAAUAGAUGACUUUGUUGAGCAUAUGUACAGGUCUGAUUUCUAUUAUAACCAUCAGUAAUAUUUCACUGAUCCUGAUAUCUCUUAAUUUGUUAUGACUGCUGAUUGUCCGAUUGAUUACGAUUUUGUUUAAUGUUUAUAUUUCUACCAAAAUCUAAUUAUUUUAAAUGAUGUAAAUUAACAGUGUUAUCAUUUCUUAAAAAUAUAUACUAAUGUUUAAUAAUUCAUAGUAUAAAGGAAAAUUCCACGAACUAUUUAUACUAGCAAAUAUCAAUUUAUAAUCCACGGAAUGAAUUUUGUUCCUUAAAAGAUGAUCAUGUAAUAGUUUAUCAAUUUCAUGUUAUUGGUUAUCAGAUGCCCACUAUAGUCAAGAAUGUUGCCAGAGAAUUGGAGGUUCUUGCUAUUCUAACCAUUAUUUUUAUGUAUAACAGUUUGAUUAUUCUCCUCAAAAACUUACAGUUGAUCAAUAUCUGAGCAAACUAAUUUGGCAACUGUUUUGCUCAUGGUCCUUGAUUUUUCUCUCUAUUUAUAAUUUGCUGAUUGUUAGUUUAGUACUUGGUAAUGGGAAAACGUCACUUAAUCUUAUACUUGAUGUUUUCUUUCUAUCCAGCAUUUGGUGACUAGUAGCUUCGUACUUGGGAAUGGGAAACUGUCACUUGAUCUUAUAGGAAUUAGGCAGCAUUUGUUCGGAGGUCAGGGUUGUUAAUGUUGAGAUCAAAGUGGUGAAGGAAAGGAAUCCAUGUACAUUCUUUCAAUUUUAGGGGCUAUAUGAGCUCAUGUUAGUUGUGUGAUAAUAAAUUCAUUGUCAUUUUAAUUUACGUUGUGCAAUAUGCAUUAUGAAAGACGAGCUUACAUGCUAUGGCUGCACAUGGAGUUCAGCAUUGUCAUGUUACAAGUGGGAAUUGUUAAGGGAGGGCUAACUUCAGUUUAAAUUAGUCAUUGGUAAGAUGUGCCUUUGAUUUUCUAGUUUGCUAUUAGUUGAGUGCUCCAUGAAUAGUAAUGGAGGGGGUAGGACAAAAAUUCCAUCUUUGCGCAUGUUUCUUGAAAAUUCUUGGAUGAAUUCGGCCUGGACUAAGAUGGACAUCUUGGGGCCUGCAUAUUUAAGUCUAUCUGAUUUGUUGAGAGAACAGUGAGCACCAUCCCAGCAGUGAGCAACACAAACAAGCGAAACUCCUAGAUGUUGAAAAUUGUAACUACUAUUUGGUUCUCCUCACCUUUCUGUUUUAAAUUAUUUUUCAAACUAAUCACACAAUCAAUUUCGGCUUUGCAGGGUAUCAGGAUCCAAUAAAGAUCCCAACCUUUUCUGCAACUGCGGUGAUUCAGAGUCUCAGUCAUGUAUAUUUGAAGACCCUCUUCCUGGAUUGAAAGUCAUUCCUGGUCUGAAGCGGAAGUGGCCUAGCCUUCAAAAUGGAGUGGAGUCCUCAGAUUUUCUGUUCCAAGGUUAUAACAACCUGAAUCUUAAGUCGAAUUCAAAAAGAAACAAGUUGAUAUCUAAAAAACCGUUGAACUGGGAGGAUAAUCCACCAGGUAAUUCAGCCGGUGACUGCAUGGAAAUCAUUAAUCAGAAUAGUCCAAUGGGGUCGUCCAAAUCUGUCUGUGCAGUUGAAGGUUGCUUGUCUAGAGGCUUUGCAGGACUGUUCUCAACUCGUUCCUAUUUGCAACUUGAUCGGGAAAGGAGAGUUUCAUAUAUAUAGAAAAAAAAAUGUGUGACUUGGGGUUAAUAUUCAUGUAUGUAUACCCACAUUUUCUGCGUGUUGUGUGGGACGUUUUUUUUUUUUUUUUUU